UACGUAGGGGGCUAGCGUUGUCCGGAAUCAUUGGGCGUAAAGAGCGUGUAGGCGGCCAGGUAGGUCUGGUGUGAAAACUCGAGGCUCAACCUCGAGAGGUCAUCGGAAACCAUCUGGCUAGAGUCCGGAAGAGGAGAGUGGAAUUCCCGGUGUAGCGGUGAAAUGCGCAGAUAUCGGGAAGAACACCUAUGGCGAAGGCAGCUCUCUGGGACGGUACUGACGCUGAGACGCGAAAGCGUGGGGAGCGAACAGG
rnacentral:rRNA from 1 species